ensembl:lncRNA
CCCAAUUAACCCAACCACCUUCACCUGUGUUUCCCCUAUAUCAGUCCUCUCCUCCCAAACAUUCCCUGCCAGAUUGUCUCUUGUGUUUCACAGUGCUUUCCCGCGAUUCUACUCCUGACCUACCACCGCUCCUGUCUGCUCUCUGAUCCCUGCCUGUCUGACUAUUCCCCCGGUUCCUGAUCCCUGCCUGUCUGACUCUCCUUCUGGUUCCUGAUCCUCGCCUGUCUGACUCCCCUGCCGGUUCCUGAUCCCCGCCUGUCUGACUACCCCGUUGGUUCCUGAUCCCUGCCUGUCUGACUCUCCUGCCGGUUCCUGAUCCCUGCCUGUCUGACUCUCCUUCUGGUUCCUGAUCCUCGCCUGUCUGACUCCCCUGCCGGUUCCUGAUCCCCGCCUGUCUGACUACCCCGUUGGUUCCUGAUCCCUGCUUGUCUGACUACUCGCCUGUCUACGAAAUAAACUAUUGACUCUGUUCCACGCUCGUCGCCAGCCUGUGCACUUGGGUUCAGCCAAACGCGCACGUUACACUCUCACUAGACUUUCUCCAGAUCUCUUGGACUUCUAAGCAGGAGACACCAUCAUUCAGAACCUGCAGCAGACCGGUCCGCGGGGCUUCCACUGGAGGAGGAGAUCACAAGGCCUUUGGACGGGUGACAGCUGGGGUCCCAACCCUACCCGACAACCUCCAGAGUUAGGAGGAAUCUAUGAUAGGAGGGGAGAGGACAUGCGAGGAGUGGACCCGGAGUUGCCACGAUGCAGCCCAACAGGCGGUCUGUCUGAAACACUUCCUCUGGUCUCAGUCCCCUCACAUGAGGCCAAAGGCUGGUGGCUAUGAACCAGUCAGGAAGGAGGGGCCAGUCAUCCAACCAGAUCCUAUUAAAGUUCACAUUCAAGGCCUUUUCAGAGUGUCUGAUUCCAUUUGACCAGAGACAUGGGACUACAGCCCCAUGAUGUGUGUUGACUGGUCCAUGCAGAACCGUGAUAUUCUACUGCCACCUAGUGCUGACUACGAGAAGUGGCAGUAUAGGCAGUGAAUAACGCCUAACACUCGCCCAACUAUGGUCCUGCCGCUACGACGUCUUCUCUCUUUCGGACUUCUUUGGGAAGAUGAAUGAAAUUUGAGCAGGCGUCAGUUCAAUAACUUUCCACAGUUGACCAAGAGCUUUAAUAUCCUCUUGGUACUGUUGUCUUUGACUGAACUGGAUUAAUAUGGACUCUACAGCGACCAAGUCCUCUAAGCAGAUAAGACACAGUGCCGUAUGCGUACUCUGAGGCAUCCGAGAAAUGAUGUGACUGCGCCACGGCAGUGCAUCCGAAGUCUGGAGGUUUUAAACAUCUGCUCACGUGGAAGUCAGUAAGGUGAGUAACAUCUUCUUUCCAUUUUUGCCAAUCUUCAGCAUGUUUUUUGCCAAGGCUCUCAUCCCAACCAUGCUGCACCUUACAAAGCCCUUUUAGCAGAAGUUUGGAUAGCAGGACGACUGGCGCCAAGAAACCGAGGGGGUCGUAGACAGAGUUGACGACGGAUAAAAUGCAUCUCCUCGUCAUCGGCUUGUCUUGCAGCUUCAUGCUGAAAGUGAAAGCAUCCAUGUCUGUAUCCCACUGUAUGCCGAGAGUCCUCUCGACUGGUAGUGCGUCAUGGCUUAGAUCCAAGUCUUUUGCUUCACUAGCUCUGUGUACUUCUGCGAUGGACAUUAACACCUUCCGGCUGUUGCUCAUCCACUUCGUUAGAUUAAAACCUCCAGUGGCACACAAGGUGUGGAGAUCACUUGCCAAUGUCGCAGCGUCUUCUUCUGUAGCUACGCUCUUUAAACAAUCAUCCACGUAAAAGUUCUGCAGAAUUGUUUGAACGGCUUCUGGAGUGGCAGUGGCUCUGUGGUCCUCAGCGGUCCUCUUCAAAGAAUUCAGGAUUCUUGAGAUUUCUGUGCAAACUGGCUAUGCGCUGCUCCGCCACACAACGGACUGCAUGAACUGUUUAUCUUCUUGCGACAACUCUUCCUCGUCGUCGUAGUUGCGCUCUUGGAAAUCAGUAUUAUACUGUUGGAGAAGUAGCUUCUCAACUUCAAUCAAUGAGAUCCUGUUCACUGAACAUUGAGGCGGUUUGUUCUCUGUGUCCUCCAGUUCCUUUCUCAUGGGCCCAUUCACUACCAAUCCAAUUGCAGUCUUAACGGCAUAAGGUCCUCCAUGUUGACUGUUAAUAAUGCGCCAUGGCUCCAUAGCCUUCGGACAGUUUGCUCCAAUAAGUAGGCCUACAUCUGCUACCAAUCCUGGCAAAUGUACUUCACUGAGAUAUGGCCACUGUUGAAUAUUGGAUUUAGAGCUGGGACAAUUAGUCGACAUAGUCGACGUAAUCGACUUCAAAAAUUCGUCGACAUGAAUAAUUUGCGUUGACGCGUCACCUCCCCCCCCCCCGCUCUCACUCCAGUCGUGGCGGUAAAUAUGCACCAGAACGCUAGUCGCCAAUCGUUUAAAUUCAUAACAAUGGCGGCGGCAAGCAGUAGCGGGAGCACAGAGGCUGGUGGUAUAAAACUCGGCCAAAAGCCGAGCUCCGAGGGUUUGUUUACCAGCGUUGCUAUGGUGACCGGUCUUCCGUGUUCCAACGGUUUAUUAGGUAUCUAAUAAGCUGUCUAAUCACUUCAUUCACUGCCUCUUCCGUGGUCAUUACAAUAUUAUGAAUAGACUUUGUCGGGUUCGUAUUUUAUACUCUGGUGAAAAGAGAACUUUUGUCAUGUUAUGUAGUUCUAGUCUAGCUGUUGGCUGUUGACUGUCGAAAUUCCACAAUCUAGCAACCAGUUCUAAGUAGUAGAAGAACUUUUGUCAUGUUAUGUAGUUCUAGUCUAGCUGUUGACUGUCGAAAUUCCACGAUCUAUCAACAAGUUCUAAGUAGUAAACACACACUACAAGUUGAUAAUUUAAAUUACAUAAAUCCUUUUCGAAGUUGGGUCUCUGAGGUGGCAGUGCAAUAUUUUUCACUUUGCACGAUGAGAGAGGGAGGAAGGAGUAGAACAGUAUUUUUAUAUUUGGUUUAAUCCUCCUGAUUGACUUAUUUUGUUCAUUUGUUAGAUAGUACAUAUGGCAUCAAAAUGCACUAUUUUGCAGUUUGCACAAUUUAAGUGCAGUGUUUGCACAAUGUGAUUGCACAAAAAAGUGGCAUGUUAAAGAAAUGUUUAAUAAAUGUUAAUAUUCUAACAACAAAUGUUUUGAUAUCCAUAUUGUGUGAAAAGUGAUGAAGUACUGUGAAAUAAUCUGUAACUGAAAAAAAUAAUCGUUAGAUCAAUGGUAAAAUUAGUCGUUAGAUUAGUCGACUAAUCGAAAAAAAAAUCGCUAGAAUAAUCGUUUGAAAAAUAAUCGUUUGGGACAGCUCUAAUUGGAUUGGCUGAAAGCCAAAAAAAAAUCGCCAAAGCCGCGUUUUUUUUUUCUUGCAAUCUC